GGUGCACCGGGCGCGGGGAGCGGCCGGGGGGCUGCCGGGCGGGAGGGUGGGCUCUCCUCCCUUAACAACCUCCCUCCCGCCUUGUUUUUCGUCCCUGCUAAGGCGAGCUCCCGUAGCCAGCCGCGUUGCUCGGCGCGCGAAGGGAAGAGUGUGGAAAGUGGCGGGUUCUCCGCUUUGUUUUAGUCGCUCCGGUGGCGGCGUCUCCGGGGCGGUGAAAUACGGGACGAGCGGCCUCCGCUGUGCUCCUUCCUCCUCGGGGAGAGCUGGAAAAUAGAGAGAGAGAGAGAAAGAGAGAGAGGAGAGAGAGGGGAGAGCGAUCGGUGGUGCCUCGUGGGCUGGCCGAGCUGCUGCCGGGGCUCGGCGGCCGCAGACGGUGGAUUUGCGGGAAGCGGACGGGAUGAGAAAUAAACGCACCUGGCCAGCGGCGUUUAGGGGAGCGGGGGCCGGGUGCUCCCGCUGGCUGCUGGAGUCACUGGACUCCGAACUCGGACCCGCCGAGCUGCAAUGGACGCUGCCCGCCGCUGGCCGCAGAGCGGAGCAUUCCCGCCGCCGCCGCCGCCGCCGCCGCCGAGGAGGGAGAGCUGCCCGCCCGGAGCCGGCCCGCGGCGCGCCCCUCGCCCGGAGAGGGACCGGGGGUUUCCUCUUCGGCAUCGCUCCGGUGAACGUGGGCUGUGCCAGCCGGGCGCCCACAUAGGUUGCGUGCCAGCCGCGGCGCGAGCGAAUAGAACUCCAUGGAUGUAUUGGAAGUAAGCGCCGGGAGCAUUUGGUGAUGUUUGGGGGAGGAAGGCACAAGCCACCAAGGCCCUGUUCCCUCCAUCUUGAGCCUUCCAUGGUGACAUGCAGCAGCACAGGGAAGUAUGAAGCACUGAGGGACAGAAGUCGGUGUUUAAACUUAACUUCGCUUCAGCGUAAACGACCACGCACGUUUCAGAUUGAUGGAGGACCAGGGGUAGAAUAGCAGAAGUACUUAAGGUGCCCUCUAUUUUGCAUAUCUAAAGAUUAGGGAGAUGUUUAGAAAAGUGAUUAUACACCUGUGCUUAUGUUUACUGUCCUAACAGAAGAUGAUGGUCCGCAUUAUCUUAAAUGCUAGAUAUGUCUUGGAUGCAUCUGCGUCACCUUAUUGAUCUCAGGGGAAAUGUAUUGAUUUAAGUUAGUGAAGGCACUAACCCAGCCAAGUUUUAAAUUAUUAGAAUAGUAUUCUCCCUCUUUUUCAGUCAGAUUUGCCCUUCAUGUUACUUCUGUUUCAUAAUCCUCCUAGCUCUCCAUUUUGUCAUUACAAGACCAGCAUCUCUACUGUAGGAAAAAAAAAAAAAAAAGAGGACACCCCCCCCCCCACCUCCCUCCCAAAGAUAGUCUUUUAACAAUCGGCUCUUUAUAUUAAUGUUUAAAUAAAUUUAGGACACAAAUGAACCGGGUUUUUUAAUAGGCCAAUUUAGUUUCAGUUUCUUACACAGUUAUUUUUUAGAGCCAGAAGCUCUCAGGAAGAGAAUGUGUUCGAUGCACCAGAACCCUUUAGGGUUUCGAUGAAAGACAUGAUAUCAUGAGUACCAUCUCCACUUCUGUUAUUCUUCUUAUAUAGUAGCGACAAGACUGAAUCACCAUUUUUAGCUAUUCUUCAGCAGAACUCAUAAUCUAUCAAAGUGUCAGCUCAACAGCAGUUUUCUCUUCACACUAAUGUGAACCAGAAGGUCCAGCUAUCACUGAUUUUGACAAUUUUAUUUUAUCUGAGAUUGCAUGUAUUGCAGAAGUUUGAAGCAAAUGAAUUAUAGGACCUAUUAUAUUUUCCUGAAGAUGUACAGAACGUAAAAUAUGUCCGCUAAAACAUUUCAAACUAAUUUGUAUCAGAUAAGAUUCUUAAGUUAGGUGUUUCAUAAGCCUUAUGCUAUAAGCGCUAUUAAAUAUUUGUGUGAUAAAUAAUAAGUAUAAGAGCAAA